GAGUUUGAUCAUGGCUCAGAUUGAACGCUAGCGGGAUGCCUUACACAUGCAAGUCGAACGGCAGCGCGGACUUCGGUCUGGCGGCGAGUGGCGAACGGGUGAGUAAUGUAUCGGAACGUGCCCAGUAGCGGGGGAUAACUACUCGAAAGAGUAGCUAAUACCGCAUACGCCCUACGGGGGAAAGGGGGGGAUCUUAUGACCUCUCGCUAUUGGAGCGGCCGAUAUCGGAUUAGCUAGUUGGUGAGGUAAAGGCUCACCAAGGCUGCGAUCCGUAGCUGGUUUGAGAAGACGACCAGCCACACUGGGACUGAGACACGGCCCAGACUCCUACGGGAGGCAGCAGUGGGGAAUUUUGGACAAUGGGGGAAACCCUGAUCCAGCCAUCCCGCGUGUGCGAUGAAGGCCUUCGGGUUGUAAAGCACUUUUGGCAGGAAAGAAAUCGCACGGGCUAAUACCCUGUGUGGAUGACGGUACCUGCAGAAUAAGCACCGGCUAACUACGUGCCAGCAGCCGCGGUAAUACGUAGGGUGCAAGCGUUAAUCGGAAUUACUGGGCGUAAAGCGUGCGCAGGCGGUUC
rnacentral:rRNA from 1 species